UCAUCACCCACCGUUGUUUCGCCGCAUAUGGUGGGUACCCCACUUUUGCCACUCGGGAGAGCCCCAGGGUGCCCGAAUGGCUUCUACUACCCCCAUCACCAUGGAGGCCCUCCAGAAGGCCCUCGAGGCACAAUCCCGCGCCCUGCGCGCGGAACUCGCCGCCGGCGCCUCGCAGUCGCGCCGGCCGCGGCCGCCGCGACAGCGUGACUCCAGCACCUCCGGAGAUGACUCCGGCCGUGACUCCGGGGGGCCCCGCCGCCGCCGCGGCAACCGGGGCCGUGGCCAGCGCAGGGACUGGUCCAGGGCCCCGCCCCCGCCGGAAGAGCGGCAAGAAAGUCGCUCCCAGACUCCGGCCCCGAAGCCAUCGCGGGCGCCGCCACAACAGCCUCAACCCCCGCGUAUGCAAACCGGGCGUGGGGGCUCUGCCCCCCGCCCCGAGCUGGGGCCGCCGACCAACCCGUUCCAAGCAGCCGUAGCGCGUGGCCUGCGCCCGCCUCUCCACGACCCUGACACCGAGGCACCCACCGAGGCCUGCGUGACCUCAUGGCUUUGGAGCGAGGGCGAAGGCGCGGUCUUUUACCGCGUCGACCUGCAUUUCACCAACCUGGGCACCCCUCCACUCGACGAGGACGGCCGCUGGGACCCUGCGCUCAUGUACAACCCUUGCGGGCCCGAGCCGCCCGCUCACGUCGUCCGCGCGUACAAUCAACCUGCCGGCGACGUCAGGGGCGUUUGGGGUAAAGGUGAGCGCACCUACGCCGAGCAGGAUUUCCGCGUCGGCGGCACGCGCUGGCACCGACUGCUGCGCAUGCCAGUGCGCGGCCUCGACGGCGACAGCGCCCCGCUUCCCCCCCACACCACCGAGCGCAUUGAGACCCGCUCGGCGCGCCACCCUUGGCGCAUCCGCUUCGGUGCCCCCCAGGCCUUCCUCGCCGGGCUCUUGCUCGCCGCGGUCGCCGUCGGCACCGCGCGCGCCGGGCUCCAGCCCCGCGCUGACAUGGCGGCACCUCCUACGCUGCCGCAGCCCCCCCGUGCGCACGGGCAGCAUUAUGGCCACCACCACCAUCAGCUGCCGUUCCUCGGGCACGACGGCCAUCAUGGCGGCACCUUGCGCGUCGGCCAGCAUCACCGAAACGCUAGCGACGUGCUGCCCGGCCACUGGCUCCAAGGCGGCUGGGGUUGCUACAACCUGAGCGACUGGCACCAGGGCACUCAUGUCUGUCACACCAAGCACAUGGACUUCUGGUGUGUGGAGCACGACCGGCCGCCGCCCGCGACCCCGACGCCUUUCACCACCGCGGCGAACUCCACGACCGCCGCCACCCCCGCCACUGCGCCGGCCCCCUGCCACGCCGGCCUCAAUGACAGCUGCGGCGGCUUCUUGUCCGGGUGCGGGCCGAUGCGCCUGCGCCACGGCGCUGACACCCGGUGCGGUCGGUUGAUCUGCGGGCUGUCCACCACCGCCCAGUACCCGCCUACCCGGUUUGGCUGCGCUAUGCGGUGGGGCCUCCCCCCCUGGGAACUGGUCGUCCUCACCGCCCGCCCCGAAGACGGCUGGACCUGCCGCGGUGUGCCCGCCCAUCCAGGUACCCGCUGCCCCGAACUGGUGAGCCCCAUGGGACGCGCGACCUGCUCCCCAGCCUCGGCCCUCUGGCUCGCCACAGCGAACGCGCUGUCUCUUGAUCACGCCCUCGCGGCCUUCGUCCUGCUGGUCCCGUGGGUCCUGAUAUUCAUGGUGUGCCGCCGCGCCUGUCGCCGCCGCGGCGCCGCCGCCGCCCUCACCGCGGUCGUCCUGCAGGGGUACAACCCCCCCGCCUAUGGCGAGGAGGCCUUCACCUACCUCUGCACUGCACCGGGGUGCGCCACUCAAACACCUGUCCCCGUGCGCCUCGCUGGCGUCCGCUUUGAGUCCAAGAUUGUGGACGGCGGCUGCUUUGCCCCAUGGGACCUCGAGGCCACUGGAGCCUGCAUUUGCGAGAUCCCCACUGACGUCUCGUGCGAGGGCUUGGGGGCCUGGGUACCCACAGCCCCUUGCGCGCGCAUCUGGAAUGGCACACAGCGCGCGUGCACCUUCUGGGCUGUCAACGCCUACUCCUCUGGCGGGUACGCGCAGCUGGCCUCUUACUUCAACCCUGGCGGCAGCUACUACAAGCAGUACCACCCUACCGCGUGCGAGGUUGAACCUGCCUUCGGACACAGCGACGCGGCCUGCUGGGGCUUCCCCACCGACACCGUGAUGAGCGUGUUCGCCCUUGCUAGCUACGUCCAGCACCCUCACAAGACCGUCCGGGUCAAGUUCCAUACAGAGACCAGGACCGUCUGGCAACUCUCCGUUGCCGGCGUGUCGUGCAACGUCACCACAGAACAUCCGUUCUGCAACACGCCGCACGGACAACUGGAGGUCCAGGUCCCGCCCGACCCCGGGGACCUGGUUGAGUACAUUAUGAAUUACACCGGCAAUCAGCAGUCCCGGUGGGGCCUCGGGAGCCCGAAUUGUCAUGGUCCCGAUUGGGCCUCCCCGGUUUGCCAACGCCAUUCCCCUGACUGCUCGCGGCUUGUGGGGGCCACACCAGAGCGUCCCCGGCUGCGCCUGGUCGACGCCGACGACCCCCUGCUGCGCACUGCCCCUGGGCCCGGCGAGGUGUGGGUCACGCCCGUCAUAGGCUCUCAGGCGCGCAAGUGCGGACUCCACAUACGCGCUGGACCGUACGGCCAUGCUACCGUCGAAAUGCCCGAGUGGAUUCACGCCCACACCACCAGCGACCCCUGGCACCCACCGGGCCCCUUGGGGCUGAAGUUCAAGACAGUUCGCCCGGUGGCCCUGCCACGCGCGUUAGCGCCACCCCGCAAUGUGCGUGUGACCGGGUGCUACCAGUGCGGUACCCCCGCGCUGGUGGAAGGCCUUGCCCCCGGGGGAGGGAAUUGCCAUCUCACCGUCAAUGGCGAGGACGUCGGCGCCUUCCCCCCUGGGAAGUUCGUCACCGCCGCCCUCCUCAACACCCCCCCGCCUUACCAGGUCAGCUGCGGGGGCGAGAGCGAUCGCGCGAGCGCGCGGGUCAUUGACCCCGCCGCGCAAUCGUUUACCGGCGUGGUGUAUGGCACACACACCACUGCUGUGUCGGAGACCCGGCAGACCUGGGCGGAGUGGGCUGCUGCCCAUUGGUGGCAGCUCACUCUGGGCGCCAUUUGCGCCCUCCUACUUGCUGGCCUACUCGCUUGCUGUGCCAAAUGCUUGUACUACUUGCGCGGCGCUAUAGCGCCGCGCUAGUGGGCCCCCGCGCGAAACCCGCACUAGCCCACUAGAUUCCCGCACCUGUUGCUGCAUAG
rnacentral:misc_RNA from 1 species